AUUUUUCAGAUUAAUGUUUGCUAUAGUUUAUGUUUAAGAAAUUGAAAAACAUCCUGGUGAAAAAUGUGGAUUUGUUCCACAUUGGAUUGGAAAGCUGCCAGAUGUCAGAUAUUUACAUACAUUAUUCAGCCAUAACAUUAAAACCAAUAAUAGGUGAACUCAAUACCACUGGUUACAAUGGUACAUUAGCAGAAAGUGAGCAGUUAGAUCUCAAAAAAGACGGAAAAAAGGAAUCUGAGGGACUUUAAAAAUGGUCAAAGCAUCGCAAAAAAAAUAAUCAGGCAGGUAUUGUAGAGUGUUCCUGGUAUGCUGUAGUAGUCAGUAUCUACCAAACGUUCUCCAAUGAAGAACAACUAGAGAACCGGCGAUAGGAUUUUGGGCACCCAAGACUCAUUAAUGCAAUCUAUGGAGGUGCGACUGAAAGGAUCUGCUGCUUACUUCUAGUGUUCAUGUUAAGGCUUAUAAGUAACAUAAUAAAGCAGUUCCCUCCACACAUAACCUGAUCUCAGACCAGUCUACCUGAGCCUCUUUCACACACACCUGAGAAGUGCACCCGCACCAUCAGAGCAGCCGUAGGAUCAGUCACCGGCAGCCGGCCAGCUACCGUUACUGCAGGCAAGAACACAAACCCACUUAUUCAUCCAUACCAACAGGCCUAGUGCCAGCGCACUGCCUCUGCAGCGCUGCAUGACCGACUGAAGAGUGAUUUGCACAUGGUGUGUGUUCUAGUAUUACUGUUCCUCUGGGGACCAGAUGUCUUUAUAAUGACAGGACAGCAUGAAACAUUUGCCCAAGUGAGGACAUGUUUCUGGUCUUUGCUUGGAAACAUGAGGUUUUUAAAACACACUCAAGAAUUUUAGGGAGAAUCUAAAGAAUAUCAGCUUCUGGAUAUGUCGAUUUAGGUUAGAUUUAGGUUAGUGAGGUUAAUGGCAGGUUUAAAUACGGUAGGUUUUUAGUGUAGGUUCUUAAAGUUAAAGCAGUUUUAGGUGUAGGUUACUAAGGUUAACUGCAGGCUUAGGUGUAGGUUACUUGAUGUAACAGCAGGUUUAGAUGUAGGUUAUUGGGGUUAACAGCAGGUUUAGGUGUAGAUGUCUUAUGUUAAUGGCAGGGUUGGGUGUAGGUCCCUGAGGUUAACGGCAGGUUUAGGUGUAGGUUACUGAGGUUAACAGCAGGUUUAGGUGUAGGUCCCUGAGGUUAACAGCAGGUUUAGGUGUAGGUUACUGAGGUUAAUGGCAGGUUUAACUGUUGGAUCCUGACUUUAACGGUAAAUUUAAGUGUAGGUCCCUAAAGUUAAAGCAGGUUUAGGUGUAGGUUCCUGAGGUUAACUGCAGGUUUAGGUGUAGGUUACUUAGGGUAACAGCAGGUUUAGGUGUAGAUUCCUUAGGUUAAAGGCAGGUUUAGGUGUAGGUUACUGAGGUUAAUGGCAGGUUUGGGUGUAGGUCCCUGAGGUUAACGUCAGGUUAAGGUGUAGGUUACUAAGUUAACGGCAGGUUUAGGUGUAGGUUCCUGAGGUUAUCGGCAGGUUUAGGUGUAGGUUCCUGAGGUUAUCGGCAGGUUUAGGUGUAGGUUCCUGAGGUUAUCGGCAGGUUUAGGUGUAAGUUACUAGGUUAACAGCAGGUUUAGGUGUAGGUUCCUGAGGUUAACAGCAGGUUUAGGUGUAGGUUCCUGAGGUUAACAGCAGGUUUAGGUGUAGGUUCCUGGGGUUAACAGCAGAUUUAGGUGUAGGUUUCUGGGGUUAACAGCAGAUUUAGGUGUAGGUUUCUGGGGUUAACUGCAGGUUUAGGUGUAGAUUCCUGAGGUUAAGGUUGGGUUUAGGAAUGCAUUUGCUGAAGUUAAUAGUAGGUUCAGGUGUAGUUACCU